CAUAGAUAUCCAUCGAGAUCAAUCUUGAACCUUUUUUUAUUAUAUAUCUAUCUUUUUUAAAAUGAAUCUCAAUCUUUUGGACCUUUGAUCAACUCUUGAUUUUUGACCGCGAUCUCAAUGCUUGAACUGCAACCUUUCUCCCUAUUUCUUGCUGUAGAAGAGAUUAUCCUCAACUCAGGCAUGUGGGAAGAUGGGAUGCCCAACCCUUGGGCAUUGAAAAGAGAGG
rnacentral:lncRNA from 1 species